rnacentral:lncRNA from 1 species
GGGUCAGGCGGGCCCAGCCGAGGUGCCCCCGAGAAGCACCCCCCAGGCCCAGCCACCGUGGGUCAGAGGAGUCAUCUGGAAAGAGGGGAGAGAAGCAGYGUGCGUUGUGGUUGUGGAUCAGUCCCGCUCGGCUCUCCCUGAAGUAGUUUGAUUGGAGAUGAAGCAUGAGAAGGCCGCAAAGUGGUGGGGAGGUCUGAGCAGUGUCAAUUGUUUCCUGCUGCUGCCAGUUUGCUUCGUGCACUUUGUUUCUCGCAGAAACUCUCUGGAGAUGGGAUGAGCAGCCGAGGAAGUCAUGUGAGUGAAGGAAGCAGAGGCCAGCGAGAGGUCUUGGCCGACAGAGAGGUGAAGCGGGGAUAUCUGGUGAGAAAAGGAUUUAUGCAAGAGGCACAGCAGAGAGCGGGAAGUGAGGAAGUCCGGACUGCYCGGGAGGCAGCUUCUCCAGCCCCCAGCAUUAGUACACUCGCGCUGCAGCCGUCCCUGUAUCUUUUCCUCUGAUCCCAGUUAACUUGGUCCAGAUUCAGAGAGGACRGUGCUGGUGUAAGUUACAUGUUAACAAGCCCUUCUCACUCUCCCCUUCUCUGCUGUUCUGUUACAAACUGUGCAUUAUGGCAAAUAUCCUGACAUUAACCUUGAGCAAUGGUUUACCUCGCACUUAUGUCACAUCUGACUUGGACCCUUUAGAAAUGGAAGUGAGGGUUGUUUUGGGCAACUGGUCUAAAAAGCAUUCCAAGRUUUUCAUUUUCUUAUGGCCUUUUUCAUACAUCAGGUACUUGUUUAAAAGCYAUUUUUUCUAAUUUAUUUCAUAUUUGAAGACUAUUUUUAUAUCCUUUGUAAGCAUUUAACAACAGACCUCACUGGCUCAUAAUCACGAACAGAUGACUGUAAUACAAUACAACGAAUUUGGACAAAAUUCUGUGUAUUUUGUUCUGCAACUUCUCCAGUUAAGCUCUAACUUUGGCAUCUUGCUGUAGUUUAAGUUCUUUAUGGCCCUGUUACUUGAUUUUAAGUAAAUUGUGCAUGACUCCUUUUUUCCAUCAAUAAUUGUGUCUUAUUUUUCCCAAUAAUUAACUACAGAACUUUUUUUAAAAUAUAAUUUGUCUCCACAUUUUUUUGCUAGAUAAAUCAAGCUUCAAAUAGUUGAUUUUUAAUGAAUUUCUGGACUGAUCUUGCCUAUGGUUAAGUUCAAAUUUAGAGAUAUAUAUGUUGCUUUUAGUGUGGCUCAUUUUUUCAGGGAAAUUUGUUUUGCAAGGCUUCUGACUAUUUUUAAAUCUUUCUGGUUGUGGAUGAGAUUUUUAAAGAUGAACAUUCAGUGUCAUAGGUGAGAGAUUCCAUUCUUGCAUGCCCAGAUAAUAGAAUUUUCCCAAUGGAUUUUGCGUAUGUAACUCAACYCAGACUGCAACACUACAAGUGUUAGUGGUCAAAAUGUGUAUAUGUCUGUUGUAUUUUUAUGAAAGGGGAGGCGAUAUUAAAGCCAAAGUGAGGUCCUCUAUAUUUU